UGAACGUUUAAAAAACCACAUGAGCAUGCUAUUACCCAAUGAACAAAGAGGAAACCUACGUUGCAAUUAAGAGAAUGUCAGGAAUAGCUUUUAUUUUCUCCUUGAAACAAACACUUAUCACUCUAAUCCUUUUCAAUCAGAUUCUGGUGGCAAUUCACUUCUCACUUCUCUCUUCUCUUUACAUAAAACUUUUCAGUUCUCAUCUCUCUCCAUAACAUUGCCUUUUCCUUUGUGAGAAUUAGGCCAAGUAAAACAUGGAGUCUGGUUUGAGUACCACAGGAAAGAAAAAGCAUGAUACUGAAGACGUACUCCACAGCAAGCUAUCUGAACCACAGCUUAUAAGUCACAUUUUAUCUUUUCUGCCAACAACAGAUGCAGUUAGGACUUCUGUUUUGUCAAAGAAAUGGUUAAAUAACUGGACAUCUGUCACCAAGCUACACUUUGAUGACAGUCUCUUCAAAUAUUUACUUCGAAAAUGCACUCACUGCGCAGAUUAUAUUCCCUCUGUUUCCUAUGUCUGUGAUAAGGUGGGCUUUGCUGGUUUUGCUCUGUGUCAGAGGUGUUCUGUUUCACAGGAUGCACUCUACAAUGGUGGAAAUAGUUUGAGCUUUUCAGAUUUGAGGGAAGUGAGGUUUGAUCGCAAGAAAUUUGAGAAGUACUUUGAAAACUUUGUAUACAAGGCACUUCUUUUUACUAAUAACAAUAGUUCAGCUUCAAGAAUGUUGGAAAAGUUUUCUUUUGUGAUCCAUUAUAGGCACGAUAUUGCUGAUCUCAAUAUAUGGAUCUCUUCCAUCUUGAACAGGGGAGUGAAAAGUCUAAAGAUUGUUGUUUCAUCUGUUGAUCUACUAAAAUUUUCUGCUAGCACAUCCAAUUAUCUUUUAAAUUCCACACUUCUGGAAGAAUUGGAAUUGGUGCUUAGGAUGUUCACUGUCAUCGAAGCUCCUAGAAAUUUUGUUCGUUUUGGUCACCUGAAACAUCUGAAGCUGUCUGGUAUCAGUUUUGUCAUUGGCACUUCCUCUGAUUAUCUUACACUUAGCUUACCAGUUCUCAGAGUUUGAGAUCAAGAACUGCAAUUGGUCAAGUGGAAAGGAUGUUAUUGUAGAAGCUUCUCUGCUCGAAAGUAUUUUGAUACAAGAAGAAUAUGUGGACAUUGACGACCUACAAGGCCAAUCAAUCAAAUUUAAUGCUUUGUAUCUCAAAGAAUUUAGUUACUGUGGUUAUGGUAUAUCACAACAAAUUUACUUGUCAGGUUGUGGUUUUCGGUCUUAUGCUUCUGUCAAAAUCAUUUUAAACUCGUGUGAGAACAUCGCAACAUGCUUUGCUUUUCAACUUUUCCAGCAUUUCCAUCAAGUGAAUUGUAUCAAACUUGAAGGGUCAAAGGUCCUGACACAAUCAAAAGUUGUGUAUCCUGUAUCUGUAUCUGCUCUGACCUGAACUGGCAAAUUUGAGCCAUUUGGAGCUUGGCUUUGUUAGCAUUGAAGUUAUUUUAAGCCUACUUCAAAGGUCUCCAGUUCUCAAAACACUAGUUCUCAAGGCUUUCACUAACCGAGAGACACCUUCAAGUUCUGAAUUUAAUUCAAAAGGCGGCAAAAAGGAAGGUGAAGGCAAAAGUAAAUGCAAGUGCGACUGAAACAUCUUCUAAGGUCGUGCAUGAUACAAUGGAUAAAAGAGUGGUAGCCAUGGAAAAACUCGCACACCUUAUGGAGGAAGAAAACAUUUUAAAGAAGGAGGAGAUGGAGUUUAAGGCAAUGGUUUGCUCCAAAAUAGAAACAGUUUCCUGUGGCAUUCGAAGCGGUUCCGGUGGGUGAUAAACUGAGAGAACGACGGCGAAACACAACCAUUUCAAUUGCGAAGGUGAUACGAAGGUGAUCGACGACAUUAAACGGUAGAAAAGCGGUUUCAGGUGUGUUCUUAGCUUUGAAGGGAUGUCUGUACCUGUUGUUUUUCACCAUGGGGGUGAGUUUGUCAAAGAUUUUCUGUUGUAUUACAAAGGAGGAAAAGAGAAUCGGUUUAAUGAGAUUGAUAAGGACAAGUGGUGCUACUUUGAAGCUACUGGGAUAUUGAAAGAUUUAGGAUAUGAUGAUCACCUUAAGUAUAGGUUAUGGUGGUAUAUUAUUGAGGAUGACAAGUAUUUAAGGAUUAUAGAUGACAAUGACACUGAUAACAUUGCUGAGUAUGUAGCUAAUACCAAAUGUGAGGCUCACAUAUAUGUUGAACAUUCAGUUAUAGAGACCACAUGUGCUAAUGUUGGAGUUAGAUCAGUAGAAAGUGUUGAUGCUAGUGGAGUUAAAGCAGGUAAUGGGUGGAGUACUUAUGUUGAAGGUGGUCCUAGUAAUGGGUGGAGUUGAAGGUGGUCCUAGUAAUCUGCUGAAUUUUCUAACCCUGCAGCAACUAAUGUCCCAACUACUCAAUCAUCUAAAGCUCCAGACCAUGCAGCAGCAAUUAAGGCAGGACACCAAAUAGGCGAAGACCCGGAAUUUGAUGCCCUUGUUGCAGAUCUUGCAACAGCUUUUGAAGCUACUCAAUCUCAACCAAAUGUGUCAUCAGUCAUGACUUAUGCAUCAAUUCCCCCCUCUAAACCAGUAAAGAAUACUAAGAAACAGUCAAGGAAGCAGCCACAACCAAGUAAGCAACCACAAUCAAGCAAGCAGCCACAACCAAGCAAGCAACCACAAUCAAGCAAGCAGAUAACUCACAAUCUAAGGAGGAGUAAUAGGUGCAGGAAAUUGAGGUGUCAAUGUUGCUGGUCCUGGAGCUAAUUCUGAGACACCAUUGGUACUUGAUGAUCAGGUUCCUCCAGCUCAUGUACCAUUCAAAAGGCCUAGGACUGUUACUAAUGUUCAAUCACAAAACCCUGAGCCAAUCCAUACUGAAGUUGAUCAAUCACAAACCCCUGCACCAACCCCUACUGAAGUACCAAAUGCACAAGUACCAAAUGCUCAAGUUGAAGAUGCUACUCAAUCAAUCAACACUCUGUCAGCUCAAUCCAACACCAGUCAGUCAUCUCAGGCAACUCAGUGAAACAAUGAUGUGGACAUGAUAAUUAAUGGACUGAAAGCAUUGCCACCAGCACAAGGUACUGAAGCAAUGACACAAAUAGUUGAUGAACUGUUGAAGUGGGACAAUAAUAUUGCAAAGGUUCAAGGAAAAAAGGUGAAGACAGUUGGAAAUCCAUCAGAAAAUCAGACAGCAAAUGAUGGCUGGACUGAGAAGGUUGCCACCAGAGGAGUUAGAGAAGGUAACCAGAGAGCUACUUGCAGCACUAGUGAAGGGGAAAGACAAUGUUGACAAGUUCAAGAAGGGAGAUGAAGCAAGACCUGUAGAGUAGAUGGCUGCUAUGUUCUACUUUUUUUUGCAACAGAUUUAUGAAUGUUGUUUUCCUAUGAACCAUUUAUCCAUUUUGAUGUAUUCUGGCCUUUAUAAUUGGCCAUAAGACAAAGUUAUUUUGAUUUCAAACUAUUAUGCAAUUUGGUUA